GACGAACGAUGGCGGCGUGCUUAACACCUGCACGUCGAACGGCAAGGCCUCUUUCGGGGGGUACUCGAGUGGCGAACGGGUGAGUAACACGUGAGUAACCUGCCCUUGACAUUGGGAUAACUUCUGGAAACUGGGGCUAAUACCGGAUAGGAGCGCAUGCUGCAAGGAGGGGGAUGGAAAGUUUCGGCGGUGGGGGAUGGAGACGCGGCUUAUCAGAUUGUUGGUGGGGUAGUGGCUUACCAAGGCUUUGAAGGGUAGCCGGCCUGCGAGGGUGACCGGCCACAUUGGGACUUGGAAUCGGUCCAGACUCCUUCGGGGGGCAGCAGUUGAGAUUAUUGAACAAAGGGUCGAAGCCUGAUUCAGCCACGCCGGGUGCGCGAUGACGGCCGUCGGGUUGUUAGCCGCUUUCGCUCAAGUCGAAGCAUUGUGUGACGGUAGUGGGUAAAGAAGCACCGGCUAACUACGUG
rnacentral:rRNA from 1 species